AGAAGCUUCUUCUUUAUUUUUUUUAGGAAGAUUAGCCCUGAGCUAACAUCUGCUGCCAAUCCUCCUCUUUUUUUUUUUUUUUUUUGUUGAGGAAGACCAGCCCUGAGCUAACAUCCAUGCCCAUCCUCCUCUACUUUAUAUGUGGGACGCCUACCACAGCAUGGCUUGCCAAGUGGUGCCAUGUCCACACCCAGGAUCUGAACUGGCAAACCCCGGGCCACCGAAGCAGAAUGUGCACACUUAACCGCUGCACCACCAGGCCGGCUCUGGUAGAAGCUUCUUAACCAGUCUGUCCACAGCCAUUCUGGCCUUCUGCAGGCUUCUCCAUACUGCUUACAGUGAUCUUUCCAAAUCUCAAGCCCAAUCGUGUCCUACCACACAUCCCUUCCAUUCCUGUUUAAAACCUUUUAAUGCAGUGGUAGUUUAAUAGCCCCAAAUUCCUCUGCAAUGUUGCUUCUCCCAUCAAAAUUGAGGUCUAUUUCCCUAUCCCUUGAAUCAGGGCUCACCUCGUGACUUGCCUGGACUAAUAGAAUGUGGCAGGAGUGACGUUGUGUGAGUUCUGGAACCUAGUACAUCAGAGGCCUUGCAGCUUAUGGUUUUGUCCCUUUGGAACACUGCCCUGAGACCACCAUGAGGGAAGUUUACUGGCAGAUUAGAGCACAUGGACGAGAACUGAGGAACCCCGGCAAUAGCCAGCAGUAACAGCCUGAUGUACCAGUGAGGCCAUCAGAUUUUCCUGCUCAGCUGCCCUGCCAGCGGAAUGCAGCCACAUGAGUGAGCCCAGUGCAGCCUCACCAUGUCAAGUACCCAUUGAAGACUCUGAUCACACCACAUACUUUCCUCUGGACUUUGGACAACCAAAGUUUGUGUUUGUUUGGGGGUUAUUUGUUUGUCUCUCCCAUCUGAAAACUCCACGAAGGUUGUUCUGAGCCUGAUUUUGUUCACCACUGUAUCCCUGUGACGCACCAUAGUAGGAGUCCAGAAAUAAAUACGUGUUAAUGAAUGAGGUGAGCGAUAAAUAUGGCAAUUGAGGUGUGACAAUAAAGGAAGGUUUCCUAUGAGGGGUUUCUAAACUGCCUGUGAAGGUAAUUCUAAGAGGAGUUUUUUAAAUGUUUUGAGCAAUAGAGGAGGCUUCGUUAAAAUAAGUACAUAGCCCUGCAAGGUAACUAUUUAAGGAGAGCACAAUUUUGAACUUAUAAAUUCUUGUAUGUUUGUUACAGAAUAACUAAUCACAGUUUAGUCAUACAUUUUACCCCUAUGUUUCCUCUACAG
rnacentral:lncRNA from 1 species